rnacentral:tRNA from 1 species
CCCUGGUUAGCUCAGUUGGUAGAGUUCUCCACCUGUACUGGAGUGGUCCCGGGCUCGAUACCGGGACCAGGUG